GCAAGUCGAGCGGAUGAGAAGAGCUUGCUCUUCGAUUCAGCGGCGGACGGGUGAGUAAUGCCUAGGAAUCUGCCUGGUAGUGGGGGACAACGUUUCGAAAGGAACGCUAAUACCGCAUACGUCCUACGGGAGAAAGCAGGGGACCUUCGGGCCUUGCGCUAUCAGAUGAGCCUAGGUCGGAUUAGCUAGUUGGUGAGGUAAUGGCUCACCAAGGCGACGAUCCGUAACUGGUCUGAGAGGAUGAUCAGUCACACUGGAACUGAGACACGGUCCAGACUCCUACGGGAGGCAGCAGUGGGGAAUAUUGGACAAUGGGCGAAAGCCUGAUCCAGCCAUGCCGCGUGUGUGAAGAAGGUCUUCGGAUUGUAAAGCACUUUAAGUUGGGAGGAAGGGCAUUAACCUAAUACGUUAGUGUUUUGACGUUACCGACAGAAUAAGCACCGGCUAACUCUGUGCCAGCAGCCGCGGUAAUACAGAGGGUGCAAGCGUUAAUCGGAAUUACUGGGCGUAAAGCGCGCGUAGGUGGUUUGUUAAGUUGGAUGUGAAAGCCCCGGGCUCAACCUGGGAACUGCAUCCAAAACUGGCAAGCUAGAGUACGGUAGAGGGUGGUGGAAUUUCCUGUGUAGCGGUGAAAUGCGUAGAUAUAGGAAGGAACACCAGUGGCGAAGGCGACCACCUGGACUGAUACUGACACUGAGGUGCG
rnacentral:rRNA from 1 species